rnacentral:rRNA from 1 species
UAGGCGAAGCGUGCGAUUGGAUUGCACGUCUAAGCAGUAAGGCUGAGUAUUAGGCAAAUCCGGUACUCGUUAAGGCUGAGCUGUGAUGGGGAGAAGACAUUGAGUCUUCGAGUCGUUGAUUUCACACUGCCGAGAAAAGCCUCUAGAUAGAAAAUAGGUGCCCGUACCGCAAACCGACACAGGUAGUCAAGAUGAGAAUUCUAAG